UAGAGUUUGAUCCUGGCUCAGGAUGAACGCUGGCGGCGUGCUUAACACAUGCAAGUCGAACGGAACUGUCAUUUUUGAAGCAAUUAGCUUGCUAAGGGUGGAAAUGUUGGCAGUUUAGUGGCGGACGGGUGAGUAACGCGUGGGUAACCUGCCUUACACAGGGGGAUAACACCUGGAAACAGGUGCUAAUACCGCAUAACAGGAAGAGGCGCAUGCCACUUUCUUGAAAACUCCGGUGGUGUAAGAUGGACCCGCGUCUGAUUAGCUAGUUGGCGGGGUAACGGCCCACCAAGGCGACGAUCAGUAGCCGGCCUGAGAGGGUGGACGGCCACAUUGGGACUGAGACACGGCCCAAACUCCUACGGGAGGCAGCAGUGGGGAAUAUUGGACAAUGGGGGGAACCCUGAUCCAGCGACGCCGCGUGAGUGAAGAAGUAUUUCGGUAUGUAAAGCUCUAUCAGCAGGGAAGAAAGAAAUGACGGUACCUGACUAAGAAGCCCCGGCUAACUACGUGCCAGCAGCCGCGGUAAUACGUAGGGGGCAAGCGUUAUCCGGAUUUACUGGGUGUAAAGGGAGCGUAGACGGUGAUGCAAGUCUGAAGUGAAAGGCGGGGGCUCAACCCCCGGACUGCUUUGGAAACUGUAUGACUGGAGUGCAGGAGAGGUAAGUGGAAUUCCUAGUGUGGCGGUGAAAUGCGUAGAUAUUAGGAGGAACACCAGUGGCGAAGGCGGCUUACUGGACUGUAACUGACGUUGAGGCUCGAAAGCGUGGGGAGCAAACAGGAUUAGAUA
rnacentral:rRNA from 1 species